UUCCGAGUUCAGGCAAAGCGGGCACGGAGAAGCAGAUGGUGGUGUGAAGCUCCGGAUUGCAAGGUCUUGAACUUCGGGUUCAGUGUUGACUCAUCACUCAGCAACUGGUCUGGAGAGCUAGAGUGGAGUGGUGAGGCCUGUUUUCACAGGACGAGGCCACGAGCUGCCUGCAGGAAGCCUAUGCCAUCAUGAAUGCUAGCAGCGCUUGCUGUGGUCCAACAGUACAGAUAGCCACGGGCGGCAGUAACCAACACCGACCGUCCACCAUGGUCCACCAUGGUCCACGAGUUCCUCGCGAAGUGCCGGAAGGAAAACGCAAAGUGCAAGACGGUCGCAUGCGAUGUUGCUGCUAGGCGCUGCUUUGCAACACCACCAUUACAUCGCGUAUCGGCGCCAGCGGGCAGCCAGUGAGUAACUAUGCUGCCUAGCGCCUAUUGACUGAUCAGUCUUCGUACUGACACCCCUUUCGUUAGAACUACACCUAAAUAAUAAUUACUAACAUACAUUUCUUGUUUGUUAUCAGAAUGGAGGACAGGAAGCUCUUACCGUUAUGCCACCACAUGAUCAAACUUCAGCUCAGAAGUCCGUAGCGAGGCACCACUACGCAAAUUCGUUUUUGAAGCAGGCUGCGUUUGAUGUUAACACCAAGAGGAAGCAUUGGACACCGAUUUUGAUGAGGACUGAUGUAUACGACCUUGCCGAUGCUGAGCUGGAGAAGGUCACUAGCAAUGUGCAUCAGAGUCUGGAAAAAGGCCCCUGAACCGAAGUUCCCUACCGGUGCUGAUUUGGAUGCCCCGUUUGCCCGUUGAUGAGCCAGAGGUCACCUGAGUGUGUAGAUUGAGCUCGAUCACUAUUGUCACUGCCUGCCAGUACCACCAUUGCACGUCGCUUACCGUUGAUGUAGUGUUGACUGUGGUCCAAGGUACCCGUCGCGGGCGUGUGCUGUGGUUGAGUCUGGUUUGCGGUGCAGUUUUUCUUUUCUUUUAAAAACUACUACUUGUGCUGCUUUAGGAACUGCAUCUUUGCCGUAGUCACUUAGUUAGGGUGGUGGUAUCCCUGAGGAUGCAGAAAAUUCAGUCUGGCUGAUUUCAUACGAACCGUGACAUUUUCACAGGACAUCCUCAGGCUGAUAUGGCUUCAGACAUACCGUACGGUAAUAGCAAUGUGCAGCAUUGUGGUGGCUAUAGACUAGUAUAGAACGAACAUCAAUCCACCACUGGCAGCUGUGUUUUUUUGUCACCGUUCCUUACGUGGAUGUGAAAGAACUAAUACUUAGGUGCCGACACUAACAUACACACACUCACACGCACAAACACACACACACACCAUUCACCAUUUGACGCCCAUCGCCGGAGGCGGUGAUAGCGAUACCACAGCAGAAGCCAUAGCAGCUUGUGCUGGGACACACACACACACACACACACACACACACACACACACACACACACACACACACACACACACACACACACACAGAUCCGAUCUUUGCCAGCAUGUCAUCACAAUCUUGUGUCCACAGAGUUUUUUUUAUUCAGUUUUUUUAUUCAGAACGACAGAAGAACAGCCGGACGGCGGUCACCCA